UACGAAGGGGGCUAGCGUUGCUCGGAAUUACUGGGCGUAAAGGGCGCGUAGGCGGGUCGUUUAGUUAGAGGUGAAAGCCCAGGGCUCAACCCUGGAAUUGCCUUUAAUACUGGCGGCCUUGAGUAUGGCAGAGGUGUGUGGAACUCCGAGUGUAGAGGUGAAAUUCGUAGAUAUUGGGAAGAACACCGGUGGCGAAGGCGGCUCACUGGCUCGUUUCUGACGCUCAGGCGCGACAGCGUGGGGAUCAAACAGG
rnacentral:rRNA from 1 species